UGCAUAAGUAUUGCAACAUGGUGGAUUACAGCGGGCGGAAAGGCAUCACCUCCUAAUAUAUCUGCCUCGUCUAGACGAAUUGGAGGCGUGUAAUGAUUUGAAACUCAUCCUGAAAUAUCUGUGGACUGUGCUGACCGUGCUGAGAUGAGUGGUUCGGCGAGGCGGACCUUGGAAACACCUACAUGGCCAUCACGACUGAAGUGGUGUUCGCUGACAGGUAAAAUGCAGGUGCAACCUUCACAGACUGACAGAGAUUGAGUGAUAACAGACACUGGAGACCCUCCAGGCGAUGGCUGGUGACCGCCUGCCACCAUCCACAGGCUGUCACACAAGGAGCCCUGGGAGUAACCUUGCUGGAAGCCCCGCGGGCCUCAGUGUGUGGCUGGCGUUAUACAGCCCCCAGCCAUCGCCUGGAGGGCAUCCAGUGUCUGUUAUCACUCACCUUAGGUAGUCUGUGAAGGUCCAGUCAUCACUGGUGCACGUGUAUCUUACCUGUGAUCAACACCGGCAGCCACAGACUCCUGCCCAAGGAACGAACACAGUGAUCGUGAUGACAUUGACAACAACGAGCAAGUCCUCCUAGACCUAGAGUGACCUCAAGCUGGGCCAAACAUGAUGUGGAAGAAGAAAUCAGUUGUCUCCAUCAGUCGGGUUUGUGCCAUGGCAGCUUUCU